rnacentral:rRNA from 1 species
CCGCCGGAGGGACCAACCAAACUCUUUUCUGUAGUCCCCUCGCGGACGUUAUUUCUUACAGCUCUGAGCAAAAAUUCAAAAUGAAUCAAAACUUUCAACAACGGAUCUCUUGGUUCUGGCAUCGAUGAAGAACGCAGCGAAAUGCGAUAAGUAAUGUGAAUUGCAGAAUUCAGUGAAUCAUCGAAUCUUUGAACGCACAUUGCGCCCGCCAGUAUUCUGGCGGGCAUGCCUGUCCGAGCGUCAUUUCAACCCUCGAACCCCUCCGGGGGGUCGGCGUUGGGGACCUCGGGAGCCCCUAAGACGGGAUCCCGGCCCCGAAAUACAGUGGCGGUCUCGCCGCAGCCUCUCCUGCGCAGUAGUUUGCACAACUCGCACCGGGAGCGCGGCGCGUCCACGUCCGUAAAACACCCAACUUCUGAAAUGUUGACCUCGGAUCAGGUAGGAAUACCCGCUGAACUUAAGCAUAUCAAUAAGUCG